rnacentral:sRNA from 1 species
GUUAGAGGAAUACAGUCUAAUUUCACGACAUCGUGUCGCGACGACUGUAUGACCUGCAUAAUGCG